UACGUAGGUGGCAAGCGUUGUCCGGAUUUACUGGGCGUAAAGAGCGUGUAGGCGGCCUUUUAAGUCCUGCGUGAAAUCCUGCGGCUCAACCGCAGACGGUCGUGGGAAACUGGAAGCUAGAGUGCGGGAGAGGAGGGUGGAAUUCCCGGUGUAGCGGUGAAAUGCGUAGAUAUUGGGAAGAACACCAGUGGCGAAGGCGGCUCACUGGCCCGUAACUGACGCUGAGGUGCGAAAGCGUGGGGAGCAAACAGG
rnacentral:rRNA from 1 species